rnacentral:lncRNA from 1 species
GGCCAAGAUGCUGUGGGAAAUGAGUUGAAGGCAACAACAGCUGGAAAUAUUUGGCUCGUACAAUAAAGUUUUGAAACCCUUCGGAUACUGGACCGCCAACUUUUUGGUUUUUGUUUUUUGUUUUUUUUUUUUUUCUAAACAAAAAUCAGAAAUAUUUCAUCAGCACUUGCAUGAGAAACAAGGUCAACAGCACCCAGGUGUACUAUGACACUGUUACCUGCCUUGUGAUGACACAAAUAUCCCCCCCUUCCCUCCUUGUUCCCUCCAAGCAUCUGUUUGCAGAACGCAAGUAGUAGUUCAUCCUCAGAGGAAAGGUCUAGGAAUAGACAUAGGUCUCUGUAUUACAUGUGGAAAUACACUCUUCUUCAGGAACGAACAACCAUCCUACAAUCCCAGGACAGCAGGCAAUGGAUGCCCAGAUACUUGUGGUUGUAUGUGAGAGAAAGCAGCAAAGAACUGCCAGAAGUACUUCUACUUACAGAUAAGUAAUUUAUUGAACUACAGGAGGAAACUUGCUUAUAGAUUUGAAAACAAAAUCAAGCAAUAAUUAAAACAACAACAACAACAAAAAAAAACACACUAUCAGAAUACAGCUAAAUGCUUUGACAGUCUGCCGUCCCAGCAGCGUGGCACUGGUAGAGAGCUCACCCCAAACCUCUUCCAUGGAAGAAUUAGGGCCUUUGUAAGCUGAAGUAACAAAUCAGUACCUUUUCUGGGCCAACCUCAAGAGUUCUCACUGUGUUUAAUACAAAAUUUUCAAAAAGAGAUAGGUCUCAAGAAACAAAGGCAUGUUUUUACUGGUAUUAAAGGAACAUAUUUACUCCAGCUCCAAAAACACCCCAGCCCAGAAGAAAAACAACCCUAACCUCAACAACAGAAAACCAAGCUUUCUGCUGUGGCAUUUGACUGACAUUUGAUAUCUCUGCCUGAGGUUUGGCAGGCCUGUGGUGGUGAUCAGGGCUGAAGGAGGGAACAGCAUCAUUGGAAAUGUACAACUGGCAAAAACCAACAGACUGCAAAACCAAAAAGCUCCCUCACAAAAGCCCAAGAUCCCCAAGAGGAGCCCUGCAAGAUAAUUUCAGGAAUGGAUAAAAUAAAAUCAGCACCGCUUUGCGUCA